rnacentral:rRNA from 1 species
CCUACGGGAGGCAGCAGUGGGGGAUAUUGCACAAUGGGGGAAACCCUGAUGCAGCGACGCCGCGUGAGUGAAGAAGUAUUUCGGUAUGUAAAGCUCUAUCAGCAGGGAAGAAAAUGACAGUACCUGACCACGCCGCCCCGGCUACCUACGUGCCAGCCGCCGCGGUAAUACGUAGGGGGCAGGCGUUAUCCGGAUUUACUGGGUGUAAAGGGAGCGUAGACGGUUAUGUAAGUCUGGAGUGAAAGCCGGGGGCCCAACCCCGGGACUGCUUUGGAAACUGUGUAACUGGAGUACAGGAGGGGCAGGCGGAAUUCCUGGUGUAGCGGUGAAAUGCGUAGAUAUCAGGAGGAACACCGGCGGCGAAGGCGGCCUGCUGGACUGAAACUGACGUUGAGGCUCGAAAGCGUGGGGAGCAAACAGGAUUAGAUACCCUGGUAGUC